AGGAAAUGAAACCAACAGGGAUUGCCCCAGUAACGGCGAGUGAAGCGGCAACAGCUCAAAUUUGAAAUCUGGCCCCAGGCCCGAGUUGUAAUUUGCAGAGGAUGCUUUUGGCGCGGUGCCUUCCGAGUUCCCUGGAACGGGACGCCAUAGAGGGUGAGAGCCCCGUACGGUUGGACACCAAGCCUUUGUAAAGCUCCUUCGACGAGUCGAGUAGUUUGGGAAUGCUGCUCUAAAUGGGAGGUACAUUUCUUCUAAAGCUAAAUAUUGGCCAGAGACCGAUAGCGCACAAGUAGAGUGAUCGAAAGAUGAAAAGCACUUUGAAAAGAGGGUUAAACAGCACGUGAAAUUGUUAAAAGGGAAGCGCUUGUGACCAGACUUGCGUCCGGUGAAUCACCCAGCUCUCGCGGCUGGGGCACUUCGCCGGCACAGGCCAGCAUCAGCUUGCCGUCGGGGACAAAAGCUUCAGGAACGUGGCUCCUCUCGGGGAGUGUUAUAGCCUGUUGCAUAAUACCCUUCGGCGGGCUGAGGUACGCGCUCCGCAAGGAUGCUGGCGUAAU
rnacentral:rRNA from 1 species